UACGGAGGGAGCUAGCGUUGUUCGGAAUUACUGGGCGUAAAGCGCGCGUAGGCGGAUCAUCAAGUCGGGGGUGAAAUCCCGGGGCUCAACCCCGGAAUGGCCUUCGAGACUGGUGGUCUUGAGUUCGAGAGAGGUGAGUGGAAUUCCGAGUGUAGAGGUGAAAUUCGUAGAUAUUCGGAGGAACACCAGUGGCGAAGGCGGCUCACUGGCUCGACACUGACGCUGAGGUGCGAAAGCGUGGGGAGCAAACAGG
rnacentral:rRNA from 1 species